rnacentral:rRNA from 1 species
AAUGAACGCUGGCGGCAGGCUUAACACAUGCAAGUCGAGCGGGGUGAUGGUGCUUGCACUAUCACUUAGCGGCGGACGGGUGAGUAAUGCUUAGGAAUCUGCCUAUUAGUGGGGGACAACAUCUCGAAAGGGAUGCUAAUACCGCAUACGUCCUACGGGAGAAAGCAGGGGAUCGCUUGUGACCUUGAGCUAAUAGAUGAGCCUAAGUCGGAUUAGCUAGUUGGUGGGGUAAAGGCCUACCAAGGCGACGAUCUGUAGCGGGUCUGAGAGGAUGAUCCGCCACACUGGGACUGAGACACGGCCCAGACUCCUACGGGAGGCAGCAGUGGGGAAUAUUGGACAAUGGGGGGAACCCUGAUCCAGCCAUGCCGCGUGUGUGAAGAAGGCCUUAUGGUUGUAAAGCACUUUAAGCGAGGAGGAGGCUCUUUUGGUUAAUACCCAAGAUGAGUGGACGUUACUCGCAGAAUAAGCACCGGCUAACUCUGUGCCAGCAGCCGCGGUAA